ACGUCGGUAGUUUAAUGGUAAAAUACGUGCCUGCUACGUUGGCGACCCUGGUUGGAUUCCCAGCCGAUGCU